rnacentral:rRNA from 1 species
CCUACGGGAGGCAGCAGUGGGGAAUUUUCCGCAAUGGGCGAAAGCCUGACGGAGCAACGCCGCGUGAGGGAUGAAGGCCUCUGGGCUGUAAACCCCUUUUAUCAAGGAAGAAGAUCUGACGGUACUUGAUGAAUAAGCCACGGCUAAUUCCGUGCCAGCAGCCGCGGUAAUACGGGAGUGGCAAGCGUUAUCCGGAAUUAUUGGGCGUAAAGCGUCCGCAGGCGGUCUUGUAAGUCUGUCGUUAAAGCGUGGAGCUCAACUCCAUUUCGGCGGUGGAAACUACAAGACUAGAGUGUGGUAGGGGCAGAGGGAAUUCCCGGUGUAGCGGUGAAAUGCGUAGAUAUCGGGAAGAACACCAGUGGCGAAGGCGCUCUGCUGGGCCAUAACUGACGCUCAUGGACGAAAGCUAGGGGAGCGAAAGGGAUUAGAUACCCCUGUAGUCCUAGCCGUAAACGAUGAACACUAGGUNUCGGGGGAAUCGACCCCCUCGGUGUCGUAGCUAACGCGUUAAGUGUUCCGCCUGGGGAGUACGGCACGCAAGUGUGAAACUCAAAUGAAUUGACGG